AGUGAACGCUGGCGGUAGGCCUAACACAUGCAAGUCGAACGGCAGCACAGUAAGAGCUUGCUCUUACGGGUGGCGAGUGGCGGAAGGGUGAGGUAUACAUCGGAAUCUACUUUUUCGUGGGGGAUAACGUAGGGAAACUUACGCUAAUACAGCAUACGACGCACGGGUGAGAGCAGGGGAUAUUCGGACCUUUCGCGAUUGUAUGAGCCGAUGUCGGUUUAGCUAGUUGGCGGGGUAAAGGCCCACCAAGGCGACGAUCCGUAGCUGGUCUGGGAGGAUGAUCAGCCACACUGGAACUGAGACACGGUCCAGACUCCUACGGGAGGCAGCAGUGGGGAAUAUUGGACAAUGGGCGCAAGCCUGAUCCAGCCAUACCGCGUGGGUGAAGAAGGCCUUCGGGUUGUAAAGCCCUUUUGUUGGGAGAGAAAAGCAGCAGGUUAAUACCCCGCUGUUCUGACGGUACCCAAAGAAUAAGCACCGGCUAACUUCGUG
rnacentral:rRNA from 1 species